rnacentral:lncRNA from 1 species
GUUGAACAAUAUAUAAGAAGGAACUAAUGCAAUUCAGAUAAAAGAAUAUGUUCUUGCAAUUCCCUUUUUCCUUUUUCAGACAAAUAUGAAAAACAAUUAUGAUGAAAUUAAAAGACUAUGACUACUCCGUGUUUAUUUGAAAAUCAGGCAAAUAAUUUUUUAAGACCAAAAAGACAUUCGGAUAGAAAAAUUGAACUAAGCAAUCACUAUAUAAGUCGCC